GACGAACGCUGGCGGCGUGCUUAACACAUGCAAGUCGAACGGAAAGGCCCUGCUUUUGUGGGGUGCUCGAGUGGCGAACGGGUGAGUAACACGUGAGUAACCUGCCCUUGACUUUGGGAUAACUUCAGGAAACUGGGGCUAAUACCGGAUAGGAGCUCCUGCUGCAUGGUGGGGGUUGGAAAGUUUCGGCGGUUGGGGAUGGACUCGCGGCUUAUCGGCUUGUUGGUGGGGUAGUGGCUUACCAAGGCUUUGACGGGUAGCCGGCCUGAGAGGGUGACCGGCCACAUUGGGACUGAGAUGCGGCCCAGACUCCAACGGGAGGCAGCAGUGGGGAAUAUUGCACAAUGGGCGGAAGCCUGAUGCAGCAACGCCGCGUGCGGGAUGACGGCCUUCGGGUUGUAAACCGCUUUCGCCUGUGACGAAGCGUGAGUGACGGUAAUGGGUAAAGAAGCACCGGCUAACUACGUG
rnacentral:rRNA from 1 species